rnacentral:ncRNA from 1 species
GGGAGGAAGCGGAGUAGCAAACCUCACGAGCCUACGAACAGAAACUUGAUAUAAGGCUAAAUGGUGGAUAAGGCUGCGAAACAAACCAAAAUCCAAAAGGUAAACGUAAUACCAAAGCAGUAAAUCAAGAGGCAGUAAAUCAAGAGGUUGUGGAGGGAAAGAUU